UACGUAGGGAGCAAGCGUUAUCCGGAUUUACUGGGUGUAAAGGGCGCGUAGGCGGGAUGGCAAGUCAGAUGUGAAAUCCAGGGGCUCAACCCCUGAACUGCAUUUGAAACUGUCGUUCUUGAGUACUGGAGAGGUUGACGGAAUUCCUAGUGUAGCGGUGAAAUGCGUAGAUAUUAGGAGGAACACCAGUGGCGAAGGCGGUCAACUGGACAGCAACUGACGCUGAGGCGCGGAAGCGUGGGGAGCAAACAGG
rnacentral:rRNA from 1 species